rnacentral:rRNA from 1 species
AGCGAACGCUGGCGGCAUGCUUAACACAUGCAAGUCGCACGAAGGUUUCGGCCUUAGUGGCGGACGGGUGAGUAACGCGUAGGAAUCUAUCCAUGGGUGGGGGGAUAACUCUGGGAAACUGGAGCUAAUACCGCAUGAUACCUGAGGGUCAAAGGCGCAAGUCGCCUGUGGAGGAGCCUGCGUUUGAUUAGCUUGUUGGUGGGGUAAUGGCCUACCAAGGCGGUGAU